CCCUUUGUGCCUCUCCCCCCACCCCAGCAGUGGGAGCUGGGGGUGCACAAGGAGCUGGGAGGGGACACAGCCAGGACAGCCAACCCUAGUGACCCAAGGGACAUCCCACAACAUAUGGGGUCAUGCUCAGCAUGUAGAGGAUUUACUACAGCAGGAACCACUCCGGAGUGGAGAACCACAGUGGAGGACAAGUGAUACAAGAAGCAGUGCAGAUACUACGAGGCAUUGCUACUGGGCUAACAAGGAAGAAGCACCUGACCACUGUUGGACCCUUCUUAAAUCUUAACCAACUUGGAAGAACAGCAACUUCAACAUGGGAAGGCCAAAGUACUGUAUUUUAUUUUAGAUCAGUGAAAUUAUGGGAUAUAGACUUUUUUAUUACUUUACAUGAUUCCGUUGUGCAUCGAGCUGUCCAUGAAGCAUUUACUACCAAUAAAACAAGGCACACAGUUUUGCAUUUUUUUGAGGCAGAAACAGAGCAAUUGAGCCUUCAUUCAACUCUUUGCUGCAGAGGGGGAUGCUCAAGAUGGAAUGACAGCUCUGUGAAGCAAGAAAUCAUCAAAAGGAGAUCAAUGAUUUUUUUUCUCUGCAAUGAGAAAGGGGUACAGAUAUCACCUUGUACAGGAGGGUGCUUCCUGAUCAGAAGUGAUAUGUAGACAAGGCAAAUUUAAAGUAUUUUACAAAAAACAUUUUUCUCAUAAAAUAAUCUUGGAAUGAACCUAUGCAGAAUCCUGACAUGAACACGAAGUAUGCAUUAAGUAACUUGUAGCUUGGUCAAAGAAAAAAUGGCAGGGGGGAGAUGGGGAACACAUGACAGCUGUUAAUUUGUACUUACUUUUUGUACCUGGUAAUGAUUGUAAUAAAAAAAAAAAAGAACACUACAGAUUCUGUACAGUCUCCAAGGAUUAUCUUUAUAAUUUUCAUAGAUUAGACAUGUUGGGGCUUUUUUUUUUCAGUCUAUGCUUGCUAUGAACUAGAUAAAUACCAAACACUGAGCAAUACCUAGUAAACAACAGUAAUGAAUAAUAAUAUUAAUGCAUAGUAAAUACUAAAGAACAUAAUGGUUCUGAUUUAAGUUUUUUUUAAAUUCAUUUAAAAUGAAAGACUUUUGUAGAUCGCAUAUAAAAAUUAAGUUACUAAUAAAGGCUGGAUCCCUCUUCAUAUGAUAAAAUAUAUUGUCCUUUCAGGACAUCCAGAAAGUGAGUUGUGCCUCACCACAGCAACAGAAUCUCAUAAAGAAGCUUGAAUUAUUUUGUUAAUAAGUACUAAUAAAUUCACACUAAGAAAGAAAGGCUAAGGAAGAGGAAAGAAAUUAAACUUUCAGUAAACUUCUUUUCACUUUCAGCUCCAAAAUAAUGUGCUUAGUGCUAACAAAAACAUACAGCUACAAGCAACCUCCAUGUUUCCCUCCAGAGCAGUUGUGAGCAGUUCAUAAAUUCAGAUGUGUAAUUGCACAAAUACAAGGUUUUUCCUUUAUGUAUUUAUGUACAAUAAAGUUGACUAGACUUUAAAUAUCCUUGCCAAGUGCCUGCCCAGGUAGGAGUUAGAACUGCUAACAACUAUUUUAGACAAAUUUGGCUAGAAUGAAUCAGCUAAGUGCAACAAAAUAUUAGAUUUCCCAGUUUUCAUGCCUAGCCCAGAGUUCCUACACUAGUUUUUAGCAGACAGGUUUGAAUAUCUAGGUCUGUGUUUCCACUUUUGCACAUAAUUCCACUAUUUUGCCCUGACUUCAAAUAACAGACCACCCUUUCUGCAAGAAUGACCUGAACCCACAAAAAUGGCACCCACACACUCAAUGACUAAAAUCAGUAUAGUUUUCUCCUUUAUAUAUUAAGUUUUAAAAGACUUUGAAAACAAUCUUGUAGAGUGAAAAUCCAUGUGAAUGUUUACAAUACAGUUUUAUCAAUUUAUAUGCCAUAUUUUCUGCCAAAUAGAAGCUUUUUUAUUUAAACAAAAGGGGCAAUUAGUGAUUGUGGUCUCAGUUUCCUAGGACACUGCUAAGUGUCCUAAGAAAAAGCAAAGCACUUUCUGAAUAGAUUUUAAAGUCAUAAAGGAGCAAA